rnacentral:rRNA from 1 species
GAUAUGGCUCAGGAUGAACGCUGGCGGCACGCUUAACACAUGCAAGUCGAGCGGACAGGGACUUCGGUCUCUGUUAGCGGCGGACGGGUGAGUAACACGUGGGUAACCUACCCUAUACCGGGGGAUAACAUAAAGAAAUUUAUGCUAAUACCGCAUAAGCCUACAGGGCCGCAUGGCUCGGUAGGAAAAGCGUUAGUGAUAUAGGAUGGGCCCGCGACUGAUUAGCUAGUUGGUAAGGUAACGGCCUACCAAGGCAACGAUCAGUAGCCGGUCUGAGAGGAUGGACGGCCACAUUGGGACUGAGACACGGCCCAGACUCCUACGGGAGGCAGCAGGUGGGGAAUAUUGCACAAUGGGGGGAACCCUGAUGCCAGCGAUGCCGCGUGAAGGACGAAGUAUUUCGGUAUGUAAACUUCUAUCAGCAAGGAAGAAAAAGGACAGUACUUGAAUAAGCAGCCCCGGCUAACUACGUGCCAGCAGCGGC